GACGAACGCUGGCGGCGUGCUUAACACAUGCAAGUCGAACGAAGUGGCGAACGGGUGAGUAACGCGUAAUCAACCUGCCCUUCAGAGGGGGACAACAGUUUGAAACGACUGCUAAUACCGCAUACUGAAGAAGGGGCUUGCGUCUGCUUAGCUAGUUGGAUGGGUAACGGCCCACCAAGGCGAUGAUCAGUAGCCGGUCUGGAGGGAUGAACGGUCCCAUGUGGGCUUGUACAACGCCCCGAAUCCUACGGGAGGGAGGCGUGGGGAAUCUGUCGCAAUGGACGGAAGUCUGGCGAAGCAACGCCGCGGGAUGUGUGAAGGCUUUCAGGUUGUAAAGCUCUGUUAAUCGGGAAGCGGUACCGGAAUAGAAAGCCACGGCUAACUACGUGCCAGCAGCCGCGGUAAUAC
rnacentral:rRNA from 1 species